AACGAACGCUGGCGGCAGGCUUAACACAUGCAAGUCGAACGGGCGUAGCAAUACGUCAGUGGCGGACGGGUGAGUAACACGUGGGAAUGUGCCCUUUCGGUUCGGAACAACUCGGGGAAACUCGUGCUAAUUCCGGAUACGCCCUUACGGGGAAAGAUUUAUCGCCGAAAGAUCAGCCCGCGUCCGAUUAGCUAGUUGGUGAGGUAAAGGCUCACCAAGGCACCGAUCGGUAGCUUGGUUGAGAGAACGACCAGCCACACUGGGACUGAGACACGGCCCAGACUCCUACGGGAGGCAGCAGUGGGGAAUC
rnacentral:rRNA from 1 species